rnacentral:rRNA from 1 species
UUGAUGACGAGUGGCGGACGGGUGAGUAAUGCUUGGGAAUCUGGCUUAUGGAGGGGGAUAACUACGGGAAACUGUAGCUAAUACCGCGUAGUAUCGGAAGAUGAAAGUGCGGGACCGCAAGGCCGCAUGCCAUGAGAUGAGCCCAAGUGGGAUUAGGUAGUUGGUGAGGUAAAGGCUCACCAAGCCGACGAUCUCUAGCUGGUCUGAGAGGAUGGCCAGCCACACUGGAACUGAGACACGGUCCAGACUCC